rnacentral:rRNA from 1 species
AUAGAGUCAAGUGAAUAAGUGCAUCAGGUGGAUGCCUUGGCGAUGAUAGGCGACGAAGGACGUGUAAGCCUGCGAAAAGCGUGGAGGAGCUGGCAAUAAAGCUAUGAUCCCGCGAUGUCCGAAUGGGGAAACCCACCUCUUAGGAGGUAUCCUUAUCUGAAUACAUAGGAUAAGCGAAGCGAACCCGGAGAACUGAACCAUCUAAGUACCCGGAGGAAAAGAAAUCAACCGAGAUUCCGCAAGUAGUGGCGAGCGAACGCGGAGAAGCCUGUACGUGAUAACUGUCGAGAUAGAAGAACAAGCUGGGAAGCUUGACCAUAGUGGGUGAUAGUCCCGUAUUCGAAAUCUCAACAGUGGUACUAAGCGUACGAAAAGUAGGGCGGGACACGUGAAAUCCUGUCUGAAUAUGGGGGGACCAUCCUCCAAGGCUAAAUACUCAUCAUCGACCGAUAGUGAACCAGUACCGUGAGGGAAAGGCGAAAAGAACCCCGGGAGGGGAGUGAAAUAGAACCUGAAACCUGAUGCAUACAAACAGUGGGAGCACCCUUGUGGUGUGACUGCGUACCUUUUGUAUAAUGGGUCAACGACUUACAUUCAGUAGCGAGCUUAACCGAAUAGGGGAGGCGUAGGGAAACCGAGUCUUAAUAGGGCGAACAGUUGCUGGGUGUAGACCCGAAACCGAGUGAUCUAUCCAUGGCCAGGUUGAAGGUGCCGUAACAGGUACUGGAGGACCGAACCCACGCAUGUUGCAAAAUGCGGGGAUGAGCUGUGGAUAGGGGUGAAAGGCUAAACAAACU